AAUAAAAUGGCUGAAGAAUAAGCGAUAAAUUGUAAAUUUAUUAAUGAGAAAAUAAAAUCUCUUUUAUUA
rnacentral:tRNA from 1 species